CCUAUCUGACCUGCAGGUGGAAUAGCCUGCUGGGAGCAGAGCUGACGAGUCUAAGAAUAGUUACCCUGCUGGUUGAUGCUGAGAGGACCACAGCUAGACUACCCUAGUGUUUUACAACUGGGGAUAGGUAGAAUAGUUACCCUACUGGUUGAUGCUGAGAGGACCACAGCUAGACUACCCUAGUGUUUUACAACUGGGGAUAGGUAGAAUAGUUACCCUGCUGGUUGAUGCUGAGAGGACCACAGCUAGACUACCCUAGUGUUUUACAACUGGGGAUAGGUAGAAUAGUUACCCUACUGGUUGAUGCUGAGAGGACCACAGCUAGACUACCCUAGUGUUUUACAACUGGGGAUAGGUAGAAUAGUUACCCUGCUGGUUGAUGCUGAGAGGACCACAGCUAGACUACCCUAGUGUUUUACAACUGGGGAUAGGUAGAAUAGAACCUGCUGAAACGCUAACGUCACUUAAACCUCAGGGACAGCAAUUUCAGGUUGGAAAUAGUUGCUGCUGCAAGGCUAAAAACUCCUGGGAAUAGACUGCAAUGUCAGGAUCAAAAAGGGACAACUAUUUUUAUCAUGCGUGUUGUGUGUUGUCAGCUAACUGCUUGCCCUGAUGAACCUUGGUCUUGGUAAGCUGGACAAGCCUGCAUUCCAACCCAGCACUAAAACAGUGCUGACACUGAUCUAAGAUCAGUUUAAUAUAGAGCCUAGAGCUGUCUGUGCCCGAGGGCACCUUCCACCCAGAGUAUCAUGGCUGCUGUAUCUUGUG